GAUCGACCUGCGAACGGAACGGAACUGUCAGUGCUAACAAGAGCCUCUUCGUUUCGUUGUGCUGUUUUUGGUGCUGAGUGUUUGUAAAAAGUUACUAGCUUUUGGUUUUGUUUUGGUGCUUGUGUACAAUAGAAUUACAGAGGCAUGGCCCGGGGGCAGCGGCGGUAUUCCCGAAAAAAUAGGAAAGCUGAAAUUUAGAAGAAAAAAAAUAUUAAAUAAAGAUAUAAGAAGAGAUGUAAGAAGGCAAGCUGACAAUGGGAUGGUAUGUCUGCAAAGCCAAUCAUAAAGAACCAAAUAAACUGCUUAUGGGCUUAUGGUUAUAUUAAACCGAUUGCAUGUAUCUAUAUACUCUAAGCAUGUAUCAUAUUUGUUUUCUCAGCCUCACACUUUAACUCAGGUUCGCUGAAGCAUCGGCAAGCUGAAUGUGAGAUGGUAUGUUGAUGUCCUGUACAUUGACACGGAAAUGAGGCAUUGAAGAUGUUAUGUUGGGGACAAUGCAUGAUAGAACAGGUGCUUCCCCUUGGUGACGAAAAUGCCGCACCGCCACUGUGACUAAUGCUGAUGCUGUUGCUACAAAUAGUGCUUUGCCCGACGGAAUUGAAAUUAUGUGAACUCCCAGCGCAGAGGCUGAAGCCAAAGGAGACAUGAUGGUUUUGCAGCGCGAGCAGAUACAAUGCGAUAGCAAGAAGGCGGACACCAUGGAAAUGGUAGCUGCAGCAAGAAAUACACAAACUGCUGUAAAUUAGGCCCAUAAUGCCAGAUGAAUGGCAUUCAUAGAAGCAGGACUUGAGUUGUGGAAAAAUGUAGAUAGUAUUCCUAAUCGUAAUUCAUUAAUGAAUCCUACUUAAUAUAACAAAAACAUGUCUUUAAAUGCAUCAACAUGGUACCUAAGUUAUAUACUUUUUUCUAGGCUCUUGAGAAAAAGGAGGAAUAGUUCUAAUUAUGUAAUAACUUGAUUGUUACUGAAUGAUUAUGAGAAUACUCAAAGACUUAUAUGGGAAAUAAGGCUUUUAUCAUUAAUAUUAUUAGUUUUAUUAAAGCUUUGUUGUUUUCCAAGAUGAUUUAGUCAGCAGUGGAUAUCUGACUUUAGAAAACAUAUACUUAGGUAAUUUGGUUAUUCUAGGAAAGAGACUUAAAUAAACAAACUGUGAUUAAUUUGUUGUUUAAAUAAAUAUAAAGUGAAUGUGUA